rnacentral:rRNA from 1 species
GACAGAGGUCCCGAGCGUUAGGCGGAAUCACUGGGCUUAAAGCGUGUGUAGGCGGACUUCUAAGUACCUUGUGAAAUCCCACGGCUUAACCGUGGAACUGCUUGGUAUACUGGUUGUCUUGGGCCAUCUAGGGGCUACUGGAACAAACGGUGGAGCGGUGAAAUGCGUAGAUAUCUGGAGGAACACCGGUGGCGAAGGCGGCAUCCUGGACCGGUAUUGACGCUGAUGCGCGAAAGCCAGGGGAGCAAACAGG